rnacentral:rRNA from 1 species
UUUAUGGAGAGUUUGAUCCUGGCUCAGGAUGAACGCUGGCGGCGUGCCUAAUACAUGCAAGUCGAGCGAACGGACGAGAAGCUUGCUUCUCUGAUGUUAGCGGCGGACGGGUGAGUAACACGUGGAUAACCUACCUAUAAGACUGGGAUAACUUCGGGAAACCGGAGCUAAUACCGGAUAAUAUUUUGAACCGCAUGGUUCAAAAGUGAAAGACGGUCUUGCUGUCACUUAUAGAUGGAUCCGCGCUGCAUUAGCUAGUUGGUAAGGUAACGGCUUACCAAGGCAACGAUGCAUAGCCGACCUGAGAGGGUGAUCGGCCACACUGGAACUGAGACACGGUCCAGACUCCUACGGGAGGCAGCAGUAGGGAAUCUUCCGCAAUGGGCGAAAGCCUGACGG